rnacentral:tRNA from 2 species
ACGCCGUUGGUGCAAGUGGCGCUACGAGGGCCGCCGCUUCGGCCUGUGGUUGGACUGGCGCCUGUUCGAGCGCGCGUUCGUCGCCCGUACGGCGCU